CGUCAAGCAAGUUAGAGACCAGUCGCACUGCCAAUAGCUCAAUGAAGCCUGCUUUCGCCUCAGGCUCCAGACACCUGUCUACACUGCCAGAGAGAAUCAUGUUACUGUGAUGAGGCAAGAUCUGACCAAUGAGCUGCUGUGAGAACAGCAGGCGAAGGUGGUGGGAACUCUCCUCCCAUCUCUCUCUCUCCGCUACGCUCCUUUACACAACCUUACCUGGGAAAUUCGCACAGGCCCAGGGAGGGGCCAGCAACCUGCUUGCCUAAUGAAUACAAAACAAAACCUCUCACUGACAGGUGAGUUACAGAAGUCAAGUGUGUUCAUUUACUCUUUCUUCUGUUCUUGUUUUUUUUUUCCUUCUCUCUUGUUUGCUUCCUCCUUAUUUUUCCCCCUUCAUGGCAUACAGCUUUACAUCAGCCCAUCGUGGCACCAUUCAGAAAAGAGAGAAUGGGACGAGAGAAACAAAAUAGAGCCAAAGUGUGGGAACUUUUCCUCCUUCUUUUAUUCCCAUCUGAGUGGUUUCAUUGUUAACUCUGUCUGUGUCAACCAGAGUGCACCUGGGGCCAAACCACAUACUUCUAC
ensembl:lncRNA